AGAUUUGUGCCGUUCAGGAGCUUGAAGCCGGCAAGUAUAACCAACGGUUACUCCCUGUGAUGGGGCUGCGGUCAAACCAGAAGGUCCAAAGCUGUGACAAAUUAUUCUUAUCUCUGCGUAUUUUGGUGAAUUCGUGUACUUCGCAACCAGGGUUCGAAGUGAGCUCUGACCCUGCAUAUCUCGUGCACGGUGACGAGGGAAGAAGAAAAACUCGUCCACAUCAAAGA
rnacentral:misc_RNA from 1 species